GCCAUCUGAGCCCUGCAGGGGCGUCUGUGGCUUUGGAUGUCCCUGGGAAGCGGGUAGGACUUACCACUUCUGUACAGAGCCUCUGCCCCCACCCCCCAUCCUGAGAAGCAUUGCCCACACGCACAAGCUCAUUGGGUUCCCGCGUGGGGUCCGGGGAGUGGACAUGAAUGCACGAUGGGACAGGCACAGCAUCUCGGGCACAGGGGAUGCAAGUGACAGCCAGCGUGAGGUGGUUCCCUGCACAGCAGGGGUGGGAAGGCAGAGCCAGCCUGGCCCUUUCCUUCCUCUCCAGCAUCUCUGUACUUCCCCGCCCCCUGCUGCUCUCCCACCCAGGAGCCGCCUGGGCUCCUCUGGGUUGUCGUGAAAGGCAGAUUGCAAACACUGCAUUCCCUGGACAGUUGGAGGCAGACCUGCAGAGGAAUAGCAGCUCAGCGCAGGGCCUCUUCCCAGAUGGAAGGUCGAAGGACAAGGGUGGUUUGGGGGCACUGUCCUCCCUGCCGCCCUGAACUAGGGAUUUGGAAUCCCCCAGCAGAGUGGAGGGAAAAAAAACAGCAGGGAGACUAGAUGACAUUAUUUCCAAGCAGUUCUCCACCUCCCCUCGCCCCAUUUCCAUUUUCCAAAGUGUAAGUUCUUUUUAUAUAAGCACUUUCUGUGAAGGGGGGGAAAGCUUUACCCACGGUGUGAAGUACAUACUCUCUGAUGUAAAUCAGGAAGCUGUUAAUACUGUAAUAAGAGCACGGGGUGUAUUAAUUGAUGCCAAUGGUGGAGAGGAAUAUUCAUAAUCGGCAGCGGCCUUUUCUUUGGAAGGAACAAAGGCUCAAGUUAGGGAGACAGUAAGGUAUUGUUCGCAGACUCUUUCAGUGAUUUUCUCCUCGGAAGAGUAGAGAAAGGUGAAAUUCCAACUGGGACUAUUCGACUAUGUCGAUCUCCGCUCAGGGGCCCUCCGCUCUCUUUAAACUGCCGAGCUGUGCUUUGCCUUAUGAUCCAAUUGUUUUAUUAGCGCAAUCAUCACGUGUUUCAUUUUGCCACAGUAAUAGCGCAGUGUCUGUCUAACAAUAAAUUAUAGAGUCAGGCAAACAAUAGUUUUGUAUUUGGGAUACAAUGAAAUAUCUUAUUGAAAUGCAGCCUUCCUUAGGUUCCUGAAAUUAGAGGCUUAUUUUACAGCGAUUCCGUUGGGCUUAAUACACAGUUUUGAACUAAUCACACGAACAGAAUCCCUCCUUUGUCAGAGCGUGGAGGGCUGUGGGAGUUUCUUGUUCCUUUAGCAUGUUCCCAUUCAUAUUUUAUUCUCCCGUUCUGUUCUGGAUAGGUCGUACCGGUUUGACACAGAGCUGCAUCAUGCUAGUAGCAUCCCCUUCUUUGCUCCAAAGAUAAAAUGAGAUCUAAAGCAGCUGCAUCCUUCUGGCCACAUUUCCCGAGCAGAUGCUCUGUUCUGAUCACGGUGUGGGUAGCAUCGUGGUCGUAAUAAUGAAUCCUAUUUCUUGAAGGAUUAUUUUCUACUGGGCACGACAGUAAAUGGUUUACGUGGUUCAUCUUGGAGGCUCCUCGUUCGGGCCACCUGGGAGUAGAUACUGUCAUUAUCUCCAUUUCGCAGAUGAGGAGAGCGGGGCUUGGGUCACGCAGCUUGGCUGAGAUGCGCAUCCCUGCCGUCGAGCCUGGGAGAUGCUUUUGGUUUGUUGUUGCUGAUUCAGUUUCACGUCUGUCCCUUCUCGCCGCCUUGACGAGAAGCCUUCUUCCUCUCUCUGGACUCCAGCACACUCUGCCAACGGGGUCGAGGUGGGGAAUACACGAGUCAGACGUGCUCCUGUUGCACUUCCAGGUGCUGAAGAGCACGUCUCCCUCCAGGGCCGGAUUCCACGUUGUGCGGUACGUCUCUCAUCGCCUCUCAGCCUCUCCGCAGCAGGCCUCCUCUGAAUCCUCUUCCCACGCAGCCCCGGACUUUUACUUUUAGACGUGGGCCUUUCUUUGCAGGCUUGAUUUUGGCAGCGUUCCUGGCAAGGAUGCCCCACCCUCGGUGUCUCAUCACCUUCCUCACCCCCCCACCAGCCCCUCGCUGAUAUCUCAUCGCCCCGGUCUGCCUUCAGCAAGAAUCCACUGAGCAAGAAUUGCCCUCCCCUCUUAAAAAUGUUCUCCCCGGGCCCUCCCCCGCUGGCGGUGAGGUCACCACUUUGCCUCAUGGCGUCGGAGUUGAGCCCAAUCUCUCCAGCCUUCUGCAGAGUGCACGGGGGCCCCCUGGAUAAAGCCUGCCUUACUGGUCUUUACCAAGUGUCCUGAAUCAUUUCUUGUCUCUAACACCACGUUACGGCUUAUCUGCUUGGGCAGUGGGUUGGGGAUGAGGACGCCAGGUGAGUGCGGUCCAUCCAGCGGAUCCUCCAUGGGUUGUGGGGAACCUGCUGUGGGGAGACACGAGCCGGCACUCAGAGGCUCGCACAUGCAGGUGGGCCCGCAGUGUCUUCUCACACAUGGUGACUGCUGGGGACGCCCCUCCUGUCUUCUCUGCACCACACCAGUGCCCUCACCCUCUGCCAGGCUGUCCUCCCGGCCCGCAGGGAUGCCUCCCUCUACAGGUGUUCCUUUGUAAAUACUCAGCAAAUAUUCUGGGAGCUCACGUGUGCGGAGGCGGUGCUGAGACAUGGUACCAGGAUGAGCGGAAGAAAACGAUCCCCUCUCAGAUCCCAGCGGCUCAUGUGUGACUGCGUUUUCACCAGGCUGUUUAGAAAUGGGGCAGAUGUAGACAGGGUGGUGAGUUUUGCAGCAGGUGCAUUGCAUCCAUUUUUAAAACUGGCCUCUGCUUUAGACGGCGCUCCUUCACCCGCUGUUGUUGUGUUGUGUUGUCGUUGUCCUUGUUGCUCAAUGCCUUUUCUUUUAGUAAAGAUGACAGAAAAUGAUGCUACUCUUUCCGUCCUUCUUUUUUCUUUUUUUGUUGAGGUGGCGUUUCUCUCUCUGAUUUUUUUUUUUUUUUUUGAGUCCUUAAUUUGGAGAAAUAAAAAGUUGACAAGGGCGUGUCACUGUGCCCCUUUUAUUUUUUCCUUUCAGAUAUGACUGACCCUUAUCCCUGACAGUCUAGGAGUGUCUGCUUUGUCCCUGUCCUCGAAGCUGGCCGCCUGAUGUCACCCCCAUCCUGCAUGGUUUUUCACGAUUGUUUAAACGUGGGCGCAUCUCUCUCACCUCCUGCUUCCUCAGCCUCCCUCAAGGUGUGCCAGGCACGCCCGGGCAUGGGCAAGGAAUGGAACUUGGAGAUCUGACUUCUGAGCCCUAAGAAAAUAAAACAAAACAAAAAACCUCUGAAAACUCCAGGCACAACACAAAGGCAGGAGGACUCUUGUCAAGAGCCCUUAUUUCUCCAUCUUUCCCGUGGCCCUU
rnacentral:lncRNA from 1 species